AUCACUUCUCAGCCUUUUGGCUAAGAUGAUGUGUACUAUCUAUUCUUAUUAAUUUUGUAUUUGAUAACUCUUCUAACCAAGGACAAUAUCUUAAAUGGGUUUUUGGAGCAGGGAGUUGUAAUAGGAGCUUCCUGCAUCCACUCCACGCAUCGACCUGGUGUUGCAGUACCUCUAGGAAUGCUGCAACCCCU
ensembl:snRNA U2 U2 spliceosomal RNA